rnacentral:lncRNA from 1 species
AGAAGUUUAGUUGAGGACAGAGGGAGUUUCCGAGGGCAUAGUGGGAGAUUUUGGUAAGGAUAUAGAACCCAUGUAGGCGUGCUGCUAUGUGUCCAGGGGGGACUCCGAGCUCAGCAGAUCUUCAUUAUUACUAUCGUGGUCAUUAAUUUUCAGGUCAGGCUGCUGAUGUUAUGGAUGGGGAAAGGGCAUUAUUUCACUUGUCAUGUGAUGCUGUGAUUAUCCUUUUCCUGGUCUCCCUACAGGGCUGGGAGCCCCUGGAGAGCAGGGUCCUUGGAAUCCCCAACAGCCAGCACGACGCUUAGCCCGGAGGAUUUAUCAGAUGGCAUGUGUUGAGUGAAAAAGGCUCAGAGAGACAUGCUGACUUACCUACGGUCACAAAAUCACCUGGAUUCCUGGCUCUCAGUUUUCGUUGCGCGCUUGCAAAUCUAAAUUCCUCUAAUUCUUGGAGUGCUUGCUUCUUUCCUUUAUCUCUUUCCCUUUGGCCUAUUUAUUUUCCAGUGAGAUCCGUAGCCCCAGAUGGGAUUCGAAACCCAGAACCUCCAUCAAUGUUCAAAGCGUCCUUCUUUUUGCUCAUGUGUGAUCUUCAAAGGGCCCUUUUCUCCCACAGUGAUCUUCCCCGGGGGGAUCCUGGCAGGCCCUAAGAUAAGAACCGCAGGCUGGCUAAAUGGGUUUUCUCGGCUAAUAGAAUAAACAGGCAAGAAAGUAGGGAAAGAGGCAGGUAACUCUGGGGCUCCUUUGUCGAGUGUUUUGGACUUCGCACUGGGGGCUUCCUAAGUCCAUUAGCCUCUGUUAAUUUCUCUCAUGCUUCCUGGUGAAGGGGAUGGAACUGGAUGGAAAUACUCCUUAAGUGGGGUGACUCACACCCGAAACUGACAGGCUGGGCUAAACCCAUCUGGGAAAAGAAAAGCACCUUCUCAACCCCUCCAAACGAUUUGAGGAGUAGGAGGAGAGAGAACCCCAUGCUCCAAUGCCAAAUUCUUGAUCACAGAUUCCCUUCUGAGAUGCUGUCAGCUGGGCGCUUAGAGCAACCCCUCUUCAAGCCGGGAUUUGGAAAGUGCUGGCCCAGCAUCACUACAGCCUGUGAGAUUCAUCCCGCCCUGGACCUCCUUCCCUCCUUCC